rnacentral:rRNA from 1 species
AACGAAAGCUGGCGGCAUGCCUAACACAUGCAAGUCGAACGAGACCUUCGGGUCUAGUGGCGCACGGGUGCGUAACGCGUGGGAACCUGCCUUUAGGUUCGGAAUAACUCAGAGAAAUUUGAGCUAAUACCGGAUGAUGUCUUCGGACCAAAGAUUUAUCGCCUUUAGAUGGGCCCGCGUUGGAUUAGCUAGUUGGUGGGGUAAAGGCCUACCAAGGCGACGAUCCAUAGCUGGUCUGAGAGGAUGAUCAGCCACACUGGGACUGAGACACGGCCCAGACUCCUACGGGAGGCAGCAGUGGGGAAUAUUGGACAAUGGGCGAAAGCCUGAUCCAGCAAUGCCGCGUGAGUGAUGAAGGCCUUAGGGUUGUAAAGCUCUUUUACCCGAGAUGAUAAUGACAGUAUCGGGAGAAUAAGCUCCGGCUAACUCCGUG